rnacentral:rRNA from 1 species
UACGGGGGGUGCAAGCGUUACUCGGAAUCACUGGGCGUAAAGAGCGUGUAGGCGGCCUAAUAAGUUGGAAGUGAAAUCCUAUGGCUUAACCAUAGAACUGCUUCCAAAACUGUAAGGCUAGAAUAUGGGAGAGGUAGAUGGAAUUUCUGGUGUAGGGGUAAAAUCCGUAGAGAUCAGAAGGAAUACCGAUUGCGAAGGCGAUCUACUGGAACAUUAUUGACGCUGAGACGCGAAAGCGUGGGGAGCAAACAGG